rnacentral:rRNA from 1 species
UACGUAGGGCGCGAGCGUUGUCCGGAAUUAUUGGGCGUAAAGAGCUCGUAGGCGGCCUGUCGCGUCGGUUGUGAAAGCCCGGGGCUCAACCCCGGGUCUGCAGUCGAUACGGGCAGGCUAGAGUUCGGUAGGGGAGAUCGGAAUUCCUGGUGUAGCGGUGAAAUGCGCAGAUAUCAGGAGGAACACCGGUGGCGAAGGCGGAUCUCUGGGCCGAUACUGACGCUGAGGAGCGAAAGUGUGGGGAGCAAACAGG